AUGUUGUUAGUGGGUCUUUACAUCUGUUUGCAUAAUCUCCCUCUUUCUGGGCUGCCUGACUGGGUCCCCAAUCCGAGCUGGGUCACUGCCAUUCUUCCCUGGGAAUCAAGGUCCCCAAGGAGUUUGUUAAAUCCCAUCCCUGGCCAAAGUCCCUCCUCCAAAUCCGCAUCUGCUGUGAGUGUGAGCGGCCGGCUGGAAGCCCAGCGGGGCCGGGCUAAGGGAUGGGAUGGGGGAGGCACUGAGGAGGGAGGGAAGGAAGUGGUCCUGGGAGCUGCCCCCAAUCCCCGCCCCUGCCGAGACGGUGUCUUAUCCCGGCAGGGGUGCUCUGAAAGCGGGGAGGCCGAGCUCCCUAGGAAGGACUGUUGGGCUGGCUCUCGGCGACUGAAGGGCAGCCGCCAGCACCCCCAGGUCCCCUCACAAAGCCCCAGGAGCUGGCGGAAGGAAGCUCAGCUUGUCACCUACGCAGACUGGCGGCGAACAGCGGUGACCGAGGUGGGCUGCGACGUGGAAGGAGUCCAGGACCUCCCCACCCAGAAAGAUGAGGAGAGAGAAUCUACAUCCCUCUUCCGGGAGCGCGACCUAACGACAGCCGGCCCCCGGCCCCGGCUCGCCCCCGCCCGGCUCGCCCCCGCCCGGCUCGCCCCCGCCCGGCUCGCCCCCGCCCGGCUCGCCCCCGCCCGGCUCGCCCCCGCCCGGCUCGCCCCCGCCCGGCUCGCCCCCGCGCAUGCGCACCGCAAGCCAGCGCCAUGUUGGGGCUGUUUGAAAGCGAGCGCGGGCGUUGGGUUCCGCUGUGACGGCGGAGGAAGCUGCCAGCUAGCGGAGCCUGGGGCGGGGUCGGCCGGCUCGGGGGUGCUUUGUCGUGUCUCCCGUCCGACCGCACGCCUGGAUUUUCGGGGCAGAGUUGCGGAAGGGUGCGUUUUUAUGUCUUAUUGGGCCUUCGUCGGUGAGUCCGGCCCGAAAACAGCGUGUAUUUUCGAGGGGCGUCGCAUCCAUCCUUUGACAGCCCGAGGGAAAGGCUAA
rnacentral:lncRNA from 1 species